rnacentral:rRNA from 1 species
GACGAACGCUGGCGGCGUGCCUAAUACAUGCCAGUUGAGCGCUGAAGGUUGGUACUUGUACCAACUGGAUGAGCAGCGAACGGGUGAGUAACGCGUGGGGAAUCUGCCUUUGAGCGGGGGACAACAUUUGGAAACGAAUGCUAAUACCGCAUAAAAACUUUAAACACAAGUUUUAAGUUUGAAAGAUGCAAUUGCAUCACUCAAAGAUGAUCCCGCGUUGUAUUAGCUAGUUGGUGAGGUAAAGGCUCACCAAGGCGAUGAUACAUAGCCGACCUGAGAGGGUGAUCGGCCACAUUGGGACUGAGACACGGCCCAAACUCCUACGGGAGGCAGCAGUAGGGAAUCUUCGGCAAUGGACGAAAGUCUGACCGAGCAACGCCGCGUGAGUGAAGAAGGGUUUCGGAUCGUAAAACUCUGUUGGUAGAGAAGAACGUUGGUGAGAGUGGAAAGCUCAUCAAGUGACGGUAACUACACAGAAAGGGACGGCUAACCACGUG